rnacentral:rRNA from 1 species
GCACGUGGCUAACCUACCCUUGGGACGGAAACACCCCCGGGAAACUGGGGCUAAUUUUCCGAUAGGUGAAGGCUCCUGGAAUGGACUUUCGCCUAAAGGGCGCUUAGAUCAUGCUUCUAGGCGUUGCCCAAGGAUGGGGCCGCGGCCGAUCAGGUUGUUGGUUGGGUUAUGGCUCACCAAGCCUAUAACCGGUGCGGGCCGUGGGAGCGGGAGCCCGGAGAUGGGCACUGAGACAAGGGCCCAGGCCCUACGGGGCGCAACAGGCGCGAAAACUUCGCAAUAAGCGAAAGCUUGACGGGGCUAUCCCGAGUGCCAUCCGCUGAGGAUGGUUUUUCUUCUAGUAUAGAUAGCUGGGGGAAUAAAGGAGAGGGCAAGUCUGGUGUCAGCCGCCGCGGUAAUACCAGCUUCUUCCGAGUGGUGUGGACGAUUAUUGGGCCUAAAGCAUCCGUAGCCGGCUGAGCAAGUCCCCUGUUAAACCCAACGAUUCAAUCGUUGGCUCGCGGGGGAUACUGCUCGGCUAGGGGGCGAGAGAGGCCGUCGGUAUUCCCGGGGUAGGGGUGAAAUCCUAUAAUCCCGGGAAGACCACCAGUGGCGAAGGCUGUCGGCUAGAACGCGCUCGACGGUGAGGGAUGAAAGCUGGGGGAGCGAACCGGAUUAGAUA